rnacentral:lncRNA from 1 species
GAAGAACAGCUAUUCCAUCUUAGAUGCCUCAAAGACUAGCCAACAAUGCUAUCUGAUUGCCUGGAAAGAGGCGAGUUAACUAAUUCUGGAACACGAUCAAGCAAGCGGUUCAUCUCCUCUGGAAACUCUCCCUUUGCUCGGUUAGUUUUUCCUCCUACGAUCACUGCUGUUCCAUCUUGUAAGGCCCAAAUCUUUAAUUUGAGCAGAGGAGAAAACAAAGAACAUAAGCAUAUAUUAAUAAUUUGGGGGAACAGUUUCAAUAAUCGCAACAAUUACGUAUAACAAAACCAAAGAAAGAAAUAUCAAUGUAAGAUAUAGGCACCCAUCUAUGAUACCAUCCCAAACUACAAAUACUUGUGCAUUAGAAAAUUUAUGUGAUCCUACUAUAAAGUUCGAUUAUAAUAGAGGCAGUGCCAAUUGAUGACACCAGAUUACAUGUAAGCCUACUUGAUGAAGACAAAUAUAAACCAUUUUUAACCUUCAUCAAAAUUGGGGUACAUGAUUUCUGGUUUAUAAACACAAAACACUAACUGGUAAGACGUAUAAUUGAAUUUACCUGCGAAUGAGAAAGAAAACUGAUGCAAGUAGUGAGCAUUAGAGCACCAAAUCCAGCAUAUACAACCGGCACUCCUGGGUCAGUCUGAUAAGGACACGAUUUAGUUUCAAGGCAGAAUGGAUGCAGUUGAAGAAAAUGUUUAGGCAUCACCUUCAAGUCAAGACCGCUGCUCCCAAUUGCAUCUACAAUAACAAUUUUGUUGCCAUCAAUUUCAAUUGGAAGCUUGGAACUUGGUCGUCGGAUUCCAGCAAAUUUUCCUUCUUGAUCAUACAGGACAAUCGAUUGUAGAUCACGAGCAAGCAUUGAUCUGAAAUUAGAUAAAAGAAUGUAGGUAAGCAACAACCGGAAACAAUUAUCUGCCAAUAGAGAUGUGGUCACUGCCCCUCCUUUUUUAAGGAUGAAGGGGCAGGGGAAAUAAGGCAACGUCUAAGCUUUAAAGGUUCUCCAUCCCAGUUGAGCCUUCUGUAAUUGUUCGAAACACCAACAAGAACCAAUUGGGAAUUUAGCUUCCAUAUUCAAAUGGUACAAGAAAAGAUAUAGCUGUAGGAGAAUCACUUACAUUCCCUUAACAUUAGGAGCAUUCACAUCUCCAAUGGGUAAGAAGGACCCAUAAAGCUUCUUGUCUCCAUUGAUCUUAAGAGGUGCCAUCGCCAAAUUAAAAGGUCCUUCAUUAUCCUUGAGUACUUGUAGUGCCGAAAUACUCCAAUCUGUCUGGUAAAUCGUGAUCCCUCCAUACCUUAAAGGGUUAUUUACACUGAUUGUUUUCCUUAGUACCUCCUUACCAUCAAGGUCCAAUAGUGAAAGAUCAGUGUAAAAUUGUGAUACCUGGGACACAUACGAGGGGGUGAAAAGGUAAACCACCUAAGCAUUUAGCAGUACUGAGCAAGCAAAAUUUGGGAGAUGAUUACGUCAUUAUAAACGUUAUCAUUAAGAACAUGCGAGAUAAGGUAGCACAAAGCAAACAAAAUAGAGCACAUAAACAUUCACCUCACCGCUGUCGUAGUAGUUCAUGUAGAAUUUGUUGACAUGAACCUCUGCAUUAAAAGCCUCAGUUGGAGUAGAGAGAAAACCGAUAGGGUGCAUCACAUCUCCUAUAACAAAAUUCAAACCCUGUGGAACCGUAACUGUUCCUUUGAAGCUCCCGCUUGCACUAAGAGUUCCACCUACCAUUAUUAGCAGCAUUGCUAGAUGUACUCCAAUAGGGGCAAACCGACCAGCCAGCCCCUUGAAAGCAUAUAAAGAAGGCCCCUUCAAAAAUACCUGAAAGGAUGAAGCGACCCAUAUUGAACACAUAGCUAUAAAUAUAAGGAGAUAAAAAUAAUUCAGGGGGAGGAAUUAACAAAAAAUAAAAAUUUCCUAAAAAGAGUAAACAAAGAAAGAAGAAUAUAAAAAUAUAUAACCUCAUAUCCAGCUCCCAUAAGAACAACACCCAAAUCUUGAACUGAUGCUCUCGGCAAAGAGUCCGAAAAUUCCUGCUUGUGGAUGGCCUCAGAAGAUUGCAUGAAGUUCCAUCUGUUAUUACCAAUUAAAUCCACCGUUAAUAGGGCGGUGCGCAACUCAUUUCCAGUUAGGGAUCAUAAAGUAAAACAAAAAACGAAAGCAAACCUUCUUGCAACCUUGACAAGGGGUAUUUGUGUAGUGUAAGUGCAGGCCAUUAGUGACGCACCGAGGAGAGUCAAUAGUGCAAGGAAAAUGGGGGAUGUGAACAUGUGAUCAAACCCAAGGGUGAGAACCCAUCUCCAAGUGAAAAUUCCCAACACGGGAUUACUUUCAGGGUAUUUAUCGAAAUAGAAAUCGGGGGCCUCACCUUGAUCAAUGAAAGUUCCUGCGGAAGUAUUGCAUUGACAUAAGGCCUAGUUAAAAUUCCAUAUGAAGAUAAAAACAUCUCUCUUUACAAUACCUCAUAAGAAAAAACAGGGCAUUGCUUACAAUUAUGCGCAUUCCGAAAAGGGCAUUGCUUAUAAACUCUAGUUUUUCAUGAAAAAACAAAUAAAUUAUCCAAAACAAAUAAAUCAAAUUUUAUUUCCACCUCACUGUUAUAAGCCAGGGAAACAAGCUACCUGGAUUGAAGAUUAAAAAAAAACCCAAAUUUAAAGCAACUACUAACAAGCAUUAAGCACCAGCAAGUAACCCAAUUUAGCAAACAACAAACUGAAAAAAGCCAAAAGCAAAAGUCAUUACGCUGCUUACUCAAAGAUAACAAAACCCAAAAACUCAACAUACCCAGAGCCAUAAGACCAGCAAUGGCAAACAUUUCUCCAAUAGCCAAAGGCAGAUAAGACAGAACCGAAAGAACCCUUCUCGGCAACCUUUUCAUCAGAACCAUCACCCCACUCCCACUCCCUGACUUCACCGAAGCUUCCUCGCCUCCGUCGGCGUCGCCACUCUUCUCCACAAGAGGCGGCGGCGCUCCUUCGGAGAGUAUAAUUGGCUUGGUUAUGUUAUUUCCUUUUUUCUUGCUCUUCUUGCUGUCUUGAGGGGUCUUCAGCCCACAAGUGGUGGUGACUGAGAGGGAGAGAGGUGGCUGCCGGAAGGAACGUCUGUGAAUUUGAAAAUUGUGAAAAGAGAGUGUGAUGGGCUUGAAGGGGCAGUGGAGGAGAGGGGCCUUGAGAAAAUGGGUUCUGGGCAGACAUGAUUUGGGGGCUGUGGUGGGGUUUAGAGCCACCAUUGAUAUCAAGCUCCAAACAACUGAUUCAGAGUUGAGGGGGUGGUGUAACGACCGGUACUUCUGCUAGUUUAUCCCAAAAGGAGAUAUUUUUAUACAACUAAUAGUAUUCUCCUCAUUUUCUCAUUUUGUUAAUGAGAUAUCUUAGAUUCAAUUUUCGUCAAAUAAGAAUUUGAAUCACGUCAAAACAUAUACAUUUGCCGAUUUAUUUUUAUAUUUACUAUAUAAAAUUUGUAUUUUUUUGACAUUUGAAAAUUAAAAUUCAUUUUGUAACUAUUUUCAGUUUUUAGAUUUAAAGAAAAUGAAAAUUAAAUACUUUCUUGUGCUUUCAAAAUUUGAUUUUGAGUUUUCACUUUUUCACUUUUUGAUUUUGAGUUUUAUUUUUUUUACUUUUUAAAUUGAAAGUUGAAAAUAGUUACAAACAAUAUUUUAUUUUUCAAAAGGUGAAAACUGAAAAUAAAGAAUUAAUAACUAAAAAUUAAGUGGUUAUCAAAUGGUUCCUGAGAAACUCAUUUUACAUUUUAUUAUGAAUAAUGCUAGACUACAUUUUGUAUCACAUUGGUGUACCAUCUAAAAUGACAAGUAAUGUGUAUAUGUUUUGUCAAUGAAUGAUUAUGAUUGGAUGUUGAUGAAUCAUUUAUCAUAUCAUAUGAUUACUAAUGUGGUGUAAUUAUGUAGCCUUCCGAGCUUUACUUUGUUAUUAUGUGGUUUUUUAUCUAUAUGCAUAAGAUAUGACAACCCGUUCCUAAAUUUACGUUUUUAUGUAUUUUAAUCGAGUGAAUUUACGAAAAUGCUCUAGAGGUAAGGACUUUGACUUCCGUUGACCAUCGUCUAGAAAAAUGUUUUACUUAUUCUUUUAGCGUAUUUGCGUAGUACUCGUUGGUACGAACGCAUAAGAGAAAGCCAUUUGCGCGUCCGGAUUAUAACGGUAUAGUUACAGACGUUUGAAUUUAGUUAUUUAUAUUUUAGAUUAUAAAUUAUUUGAAUUCCCACCUUGUGGGAUGAGGCCCAAUCAGAUUUUGUUCAAGGACCAAUUAGAUUAGAGUUUAAGGGACCAAUCAGAAAUUGAGAACAAGAGAGAGAGAGAAGCUGUCAACUCCCCCAAAACUACGACCUCCCAUUUUUCGAUGCUGAUUCUGGCCAACUCCGGUCGAAUUUUUCGACGCCACCACUACCAUCUUGAAGCUCUCACUCCCCUCUACAAGACAUAACCAAUGAUAGGGGCGUUGGAACACCGGAGAAGUCUAAUCGACGAACACCCGUCCUAUCCUAGGUUGCAAUAGGCAACUAGGACUUGUAUGUGAUGCGCCUAGCGCCAGUCUUCAUGUGAUUGUAGUAAUAGAGCGUAUAUUAUGAUUACACCCAGUCCUGUUCAUAUCAAAAUCCCUCUGCAUGAACUCGUGUGUUAGCAUAGAUUGAUGAGCACUUGAUUUUCUUAUGCCACAGUUGAGAUAUUAUGAUUUGUGUAUUUUUGGAAUUAUUGUUGAUUUAUAUUUGAUUUCAUACUUAUACGUAGUAUGAUUUUUUGGAAAUUAUACAUGUUUUAUGACGAGGGUUAGUAUGUUCAAAAAAUAAAUGUGUUUUAUAAACCUUUGUUUUUGCCCACUCACACCUUCUAUUUUUUGUCCCUCUAGGACUUGGUUAGCUGAAUUCUCUAUGGCGUAAGAGGGACCUUUGGCGAUUCUGACAUUCCCCUAAAUAAAUGUACGAGCUUAUUUCCGAUUGUGUAAUAAGUACCUUAACUAGAUUCGAC